rnacentral:pre_miRNA from 2 species
UUAUUACUCCCUCCGUCCGAAAAUAGUUGUUAUAAAAAGGGAUAUAUAUAGAUGUAUUUUAGUUCUAGAUACAUUCAUUUUUGUUUAUUUAUGCGAUAAGUAAUUUCGAACUGAGGGAGUAUUUG